AGGGUGUAAACGCUGCAGACUUGGUGUUGGGAGCCCUUUGGGGGCAUUCAGUGCCGGAGAGAAGUUGUUAAGUCUGCUACUUGGGGAGUACGUCCGCAAGGAUGAAACUUAAAGGAAUUGGCGGGGGAGCACCGCAACGGGAGGAGCGUGCGGUUUAAUUGGAUUCAACACCGUAAAACUCACCAGGGAAGACUGUUACAUGAAGGCCGAGAUGAAGACUCUGCUAGAUUUUUCAGAGAGGUGGUGCAUGGCGUAGACGUCU
rnacentral:rRNA from 1 species